AUUAAGUGCUUCCUAAACAAAUGCUAAUGUGUGUAUAAUUAGGACAAUUGAAAGGAUGCCAACUAUGUGAAUGGAGCUUUCCUUUGUGCAUGUGCUGAAUAGAAGAUCUUAUUAAAGAGGCAGGGGGCCCUUUUGAGCACUUCACUACUCCCAGAAUAAACACAAUCAACUAUUCACCACUACCACUCCACAACGAUCUUCAUGACAAAUCCGUUGGACAAAAGCUGGAUGAACUUGCCCGAUAGGCUUCGUUCACCUGCAUACGCCGAGGGGGUUAACACUUUCCUGACCCUAGCUAGAAA